rnacentral:lncRNA from 1 species
AUUUUUCAUAUACCUCAAAUUUUGAUACUGCAAAACGUUUGAAAUAUGAAGAUCAAAUUUGACAAUUAAGCACAGAAUUAAGGCUUCAAGGUUGAUCAGUUCUAAAUUUCAAAUUAAAUGUCGUUUUGUUAGAAUGAGCAUCUUUAAUUGAUUGAUCUGUUGGAAGGUUGAGACUCCCAUAGCAUAAUUUCUUUCUAAAAUGCAUAAAAAUAUGAAGAAAACCCAGAAAGAAUGCUUCUCCAUCUAAACCAUCUUGAAUAAUUGCUGCAUUUGUUUUUCCAACGUAUUUUUGAGAGAUCCAGA